rnacentral:rRNA from 1 species
UAGGGAAUCUUCCACAAUGGACGCAAGUCUGAUGGAGCAACGCCGCGUGAGUGAAGAAGGUUUUCGGACCGUAAAGCUCUGUUGUUGGUGAAGAAGGAUAGAGGUAGUAACUGGCCUUUAUUUGACGGUAAUCAACCAGAAAGUCACGGCUAACUACGUGCCAGCAGCCGCGGUAAUACGUAGGUGGCAAGCGUUGUCCGGAUUUAUUGGGCGUAAAGCGAGCGCAGGCGGAAGAAUAAGUCUGAUGUGAAAGCCCUCGGCUUAACCGAGGAAUUGCAUCGGAAACUGUUUUUCU